rnacentral:misc_RNA from 1 species
CCCCAUUCCUAUUUUAUGGGUAACCAGCCUAGGCAGUCCACAGCCUCACUCACUGUUCCCUCUCCGGCGCUGCUGAAUUGUAAGCUAGUAACCUUCGUCGACGGCGUUUCAGAAAAAAUGGGUGAUCAGAAGUCACGGCGCGAACAGCGAAAAGAAGCUCGGCAAGCAAAGGCUCAGCAAAAACAUCAAUCUUGGAUGGAACAUCAGAAAUUACAAAAUCAUAAGGGUGCUCAACAAGCUAAGAGAACGUUUGGGGGCUCAAGGCAUGUGAACAGAUCAAAAAGUUCAUUUACUCAAAAUUUGAGAGAAGGAGAAGGAAGACAACAAGAUACUAACCAUGAGACAAAUCAGAGUACAGAGAAAAUGAAUGUGAGAAAGAAAAUGAAAGUUAAAUCAGAGUCAUUGAGCCAUGAUUGUUCCACUACUUCAAAGAAAGAAAGCAGGGGCUUGAAGAGAAAUUUGAAAACAAAGUUUGAAGAGUUUAUUGAAAUGGAUAUGAAAAAUGCUGACGUGUUGGCACAGGAGGAUCUAGUAAUGGAGAGGAGACUUGCCAAGAAGCUUAAGGUGAAGGAAGGAAAAUUGAGGGGGAUGGAUGAUGAAAUCAAUUUGUUAUUAAGCGGGAUUCCAUCUGUGCAUGAAUCAUUUGAUGAAGUCCCACUUGGUAAAGAGUUUCCCAUCGAGAAAAUUGAUAAUGGAACUUUGGAUAAGAAACUUAAGAAGCAAAAGUCCUUAGAUGAUUUUUCAGGUAAUGAGAUAGCUGCUGAUAUUAUGGGUGGGGUUUGUAAACCAGAGGAAACAUCUGAUGUAGAGAUGGGACUGGAAGAAAGUGCCAAAACAACUUCACAUAAGAAAGACAGAAAGAGAAAGAAGAAGAACAAAAAUCAAGGCAUCAGUGUAGCGGGGGUCGCAACUAAUAGUGAGAUAGCUGAUGACAUUAUGGAUGGAGUUUCUGAGCCAGAGGAAAACUCUGGUGCAGAGCUGGGUGGGGAAGAAGGUGUGACCAAGAUUUCUUCACUUAAGAAAUGUAGAAAGAGAAAGAAGUCUAAGGAAAAUGAAGAAGGUAACAUAGUAGGAGACACAUCUAAUGGUGUAUCUACAAAAGCAGAAGCCCAUGAGGCAGAUGUGGCAUUACAGGAAGCUCCUACCAUUGCACCCACACCAGGGAGUAGUGUGAAAUAUGUAGCUCCUCACUUGAUAUCCCGUAUAGGGAAUAAGUCAGAGGAGCAUACUCAAAUCCAUAGACGGGUUCGCGGUCUUCUGAAUAGGCUGUCUGAAUCUAAUGUGGAAUCAUUUACUGGGCAAAUGGCUACUAUCUUUCUUUCUGUUAGUCGCAAUAUCAGUUCUCAAAUUAUCAGUGAUGAGGUGUUGGCAGCUUGUUCUGGUGGUCCUCGUGGCAAUGAACAGUAUGCUGCUGUUUUUGCAGCAUUCGUUGCGGGCAUGGCUUGUUCUGUUGGAAUGGACUUCAGCGCAAAGCUUAUAGCUUCACUUGCCAAGUGUUUUGAGGUGCACCUUAUGCAUUUGGAAAAUGAUGUCAUUAAAGCUGAAGCCUUUGUUUUGAUUUUUAUGGUUACUAGAUUAAUGAUAAUGAACUUUUUGGUUUUAAGUGGUGAAAUAUUUAAUUGCGUGAGGGAUUAUAGGUCUACUGUGUCUUCUCAGACACUUGAAGCUUUCAUUUUUGUUUUUCCAUGUCCGAAUGAUUCUAAAAUUACUGAAAACAAUCCUUUCUGUUUGCCAUGCAGGAUGAGUAUCUCAAAGAAGACAAUCUUUCCUUGCGAAAUCUGACACUUCUGUUGUCCUACUUAUGUACAUUUGGAGUUUGUUCUAGGUGGGUUGCCUAUUGAUUUUGCUAAAAGAAAACCUAGUAAGAAGCAUUACCUGACUGCACAAAUAAAUACCAUGUCCAUUGUACGAUCAAGUGAGGAAAUAAUUGGUCAUUCUUUUCACAUUUUGCUAUAAUGAGUACUUGUAAGAUUGAUAUUACUCAUUAUAGAUAAGUAUAGCAACCAGUGGAAUCUGACCCCAAUUUCAUUGCCAAAUUCCUAAGACAAGCUUUAUGUGUUUGUCUCAUUUUUUUCCCAAAAAAAUCUGUUUCACCGGUUCAUAAUUUUUUAACACCAAAUUUAUGCCGAUGGCAUUACUUUUGAUGUUUUUCAGUGAUUUGAUAUAUGACUUUCUGAUUAUGUUGAGCAAGCGGUUGACAGAGAUUGACGUCUCUACUAUCUUGACAGUUCUACAGUGCUGUGGCAUGAAAAUAAGAGCUGAUGAUCCCACUGCCAUGAAAAACUUCAUUCAGAGUGUUCAGAGUAGGGUGAAUGAGCUGAAGUCCUCUCCUGGAGAAGACCAGGCAAAAAUGAUUGGCAAAAGAAUGGAAUUCAUGCUUGAAACCAUAUGCGACAUCAAAAACAACAAGAAGAGGCCUAAGGAUGAUAGUGCACAACACACAAGAAUUAAAAAAUGGCUGCAAAAGCUAAGAGUUCAAGAAAUUCUUCUUAGAGGGCUCAAAUGGAGCAGGCUGCUUGAUCCUGAUAAGAAGGGCCAAUGGUGGCUGUCAGGUGAUACGGCUAUCACCGUAGAUGAUGUUGAAGAGGUUGCCAAUACAAUUGACAAAGAGGUUGUGGAAGCACAAAAGAUGCUGCAGCUUGCUGCUUUACAGAGGAUGAAUACAGAUGCUAGAAAGGCAAUCUUUUGUAUAUUAAUGAGCGGUGAGGACUAUAUUGAUGCAUUUGAGAAGCUUCUAAGACUGGAUUUGCCAGGAAAGCAGGACAGAGAGAUUAUCCGGGUUCUUGUAGAAUGCUGCUUGCAAGAGAAGGUGUUUAACAAGUAUUAUACUGUUCUGGCUUCCAAGUUGUGUGGGCAUGACAAAAAUCACAAGUAUACUUUACAGUAUUGCCUUUGGGACCACUUCAAAGAGCUCGAGUUCAUGCCACUUUUAAGAUCCAUGCACUUAGCCAAAUUUGCAGCAGAGAUGGUUGCCUCCUUCACCCUCUCUCUUUCAGUUUUGAAGAGCGUCGAAUUGAGUGAUGCCGGGUGGCUAACUUCAAAAAGGAUCAUGCAUUUUCGGAUGCUGUUUGAGGCCUUAUUUGAGUAUCCUGAUAGUGUUGUAUGGAAUGCGUUUACACGAGUAGCUAUUGACCCUCAGUUAGAAACUCUGCGUAAUGGUAUCGAGUUCUUCAUCAGGGAGUAUGUUGUGAAAACUAAUAAUGCAAUUGUUAAGAAAUUCAAGAUUGUUAAGAAAGCCCUCAACAAUGUGGAAGGAGUCCUCAUGUGAACCAAGAUUUUGCCUUGAUUUUCUUGGCAAGGCCUGAUUUUGUAGUUCUUUCGCAUGUUUGAGUUGGUGCCAAAUUAUUAUUUUCAUUAUUCAAUUUUCUGAGGAUUGUGCAGGGAAUCGAGUGAAAUGAAAUAGAAGAGUUUGAAACUUGCGUAAUUAAGCUUCAGGAAUUAUACGUUUCACAUUUCUGACGCUUGUAAGAUCACUAGUAAUAGAGUACUAAAAUGUUUCAAGUACAAUCUUAUUGUCUAAAAUACUGCAAGAGUAAGAAAAUAUCUGAAAUACUUGCAUGAUUCAUCCAGUAAUCAUUGAUGCCUUCGCAUUUUUUGCUUAUUUUAUCCA